rnacentral:misc_RNA from 1 species
AAGUCGUAACAAGGUUUCCGUAGGUGAACCUGCGGAAGGAUCAUUAACACGUAUCCAACGUUAAACCCCCCUGUGAACCUUCAACAGUACUCUUGCAUCCUAUGGAACAGCAAUCCUGGUAAAUCAGUCCCGGAAAGUUAUUGAUUCAGGACCUCUGCCCAAAAAGAUGUGAUGUCGAGCGCAAGUUAAAGUGGCCUAGCUUCCCCAAGCAAUCGGUGUUCUGUCAGUGUCACUGAUUGUGCAAGGAUAACGCUUUACGGAUGCUGUAGGCCGAUCACCGGCCGGCGUCGUGGCCAGCGGCCUAACCGGCCCCUUACAAAACAACCAGUAGUUAGCGAUUACUCCACGACAUAGUCAAGUGGCGCCGUCCUGGAGUUUAACGAACAACUGUUAACAAUGGAUAUCUUGGUUCUCGCAUCGAUGAAGAACG